CCUACGGGAGGCAGCAGCAGGGAAUAUUGCGCAAUGAGCGAAAGCUUGACGCAGCGACACCGCGUGUGGGAUGACGGAUCUAGGUUUGUAAACCACUUUCAGGAGGGAAGAAAAUGACGGUACCUCCACAAGAAGCCCCGGCCAACUACGUGCCAGCAGCCGCGGUAAUACGUAGGGGGCGAGCGUUGUCCGGAUUUAUUGGGCGUAAAGAGCUCGUAGGCGGUUCAACAAGUCGGUCGUGAAAGUUCAGGGCUCAACCCUGAAAUGUCGAUCGAUACUGUUGUGACUAGGAUACGGUAGAGGUGAGUGGAAUUCCGAGUGUAGCGGUGAAAUGCGUAGAUAUUCGGAGGAACACCAAUGGCGAAGGCNGCUCACUGGNUCGNUAUNGACGCUGAGGAGC
rnacentral:rRNA from 1 species